UUUCCCCUUUCCUUAUUUAGAACAGGGUACUGAGUUUCUGCUCUUGUAUUUUCGUUUCUCGCAGGAGUGAGAUGUAUUAGUGUACUAGAUUGGCUGUGAUUCUAAAUCAAGAAAAAAAUGAGGCGAACACCGACGGAUUUCCGACGGCCUGUGAGGAGGAGAUUUUCGAAGGCAUUCUGGUUGACAUUAUUUGGUUUGGCCAUUCUGCUUUUCAUUGUGAUUUUUAGCCAGGACAAGCAACCAGGAUCCAAAGCCGCAUUGGCUUAGGGUCUUCCAAAAAUAACUCAUAAAUUUCACAUCACGAU